GAUCAUGGNUCAGGAUGAACGCUAGCUACAGGCUUAACACAUGCAAGUCGAGGGGCAGCAUGGUCUUAGCUUGCUAAGGCCGAUGGCGACCGGCGCACGGGUGAGUAACGCGUAUCCGAACCUGCCUUACACUCUUGGACAGCCUUCUGAAAGGGAGAUUAAUACAAGAUGUUAUCAUGAGUAAGCAUUUUCGCAUGAUUAAAGGUUUACCGGUGUAAGAUGGGGAUGCGUU
rnacentral:rRNA from 1 species